ACUCUCAUUUUUAGCAGUUACAGAGGCAUAAACUGUGUGCAUAGAUUUUUUAAGUGGGUUAGGGAUGGAUUGGUUUGUUGAAUGGAAGGGAAAAAAAGUUUGGAUUUGAGAUCGGUUUUCUGAAGAAAAAAAAAAGUUCUACACAUUGUUACUUGCUUCAUGAUUAUCAUUUCAUUAUGGUUAUACUAUAGUCGAUUCAUGAACUGUUGUUCAAUUUAAUAAUCUUUCUAUGCAUCCAGGUUGGAUAUGCUAUGCUGAAAAAACACUUGACUUAUAUACUACCUUUAUUUCUUCUGUGAAGAUUCCACAACAAGCAAUUGGGGCAACCAUCAAGCAUCACAUUUGCCAAAAAAAUGGGUCUAAUAGAUUUGAAGGGGAAUCAACUGACCGGGUCAAUCCCUGAUGAGAUCGGCAACUGCGUCUUGCUGAAAUCUCUCAUUUGCUUGCAUUCUGAAGUUAUGGGAUUGAGAAUGUAAUGGAGGAUUUAACUGAAAUCUGUGUUGGUUUGUUUUCUAUAGGGAUUUAUCCGGUAACUUGCUAUAUGGAGAUAUUUUGUUCUCGACAUCUAGGCUCAAACAGCUUGAGGACUUGACAUUAAAGAACAAUCAGUUAACAGGGCCUAUCCCUUUAACCCUUUCACAGAUGCCAAAUCUCAAAAAUCUGUAAGGUUGCUGUCACUUAUAUUUGAGGUGCUUGUUCUAUUUUAUGGUUUACGCUUUCUAAUAUCUACUUGAAAACAUUUAAUUGGUUUUUUUUUUCCUUCUCAUGUGGGUUUUCUCAGUUACACAUUUGCAUUGGGGGUUUGUCUGAUAGAACAUACCUAAACUACAGUUGUUUGUUUCCAAUGGUGUGGAUUUGUGUGUACAGAGUGAUUUUAAUGGGUCCCUUGUUGUUUAAAUCUUUUUAGGGAUCUUGCUCAAAAUCAACUCACUGGUGACAUUCCGAGG